UGAGUAGCGAUAAGACAGGUGAGAAUCCUGUCCGCCGAAAACCCAAGGUUUCUCCGGCUAUGUUCGUCAGACGGAGGUUAGGCGGUCCCUAAGGUGAGGCCAGAAGGCGUAGCCGAUGGACAUCCAGUAGACAUUCUGGACCCGGGUUUAUCAGCCAUGGGAGGACGCUUCUCGAUAUUCCAUCCCGCACUGUUGGUAGUUGCGGGCUAGGCAAAGGUUUGGCUAGUUGAAAGACUAGCGUAAUGACUAAUGCCGGGGAAGGGAACUCUUCGGAGUGAACGAACUGGAAUUGAGGGGGGCCGAGAAAAGCCCCACAGCAUUAAUGAUAAAUUCGACCGUACUGUAAACCGACACAGGUGGUGAGUCGAGGAGACUAAGGCGUUCGAGAGAACUCUCGUUAAGGAACUAGGCAAAUGAGCCCCGUAACUUCGGGAUAAGGGGCGCCAGCGCAAGCUGGCCGCAGCGAAGCAGCCCAGGCGACUGUUUACCAAAAACACAGGUCUCUGCUAACACGAAAGUGGAUGUAUAGGGGCUGACGCCUGCCCAAUGCCAGUAGGUUAACAGGAGAUGUCAGGAGUAAUCCGAAGCAUUGAAUCGAAGCCCUGGUGAAUGGCGGCCGUAACUCUAACGGUCCUAAGGUAGCGAAAUUCUUGUCGGCUAAAUACCGACCCGCAUGAAAGGCGUAACGACUUGGGCACUGUCUCAACGAGAAGCUCGGUGAAAUUGUAGCACCCGUGAAGAUGCGGGUUACGCGCAGUAGGACGGAAAGACCCCGUGGAGCUUUACUACACCCAGUCACUGCGAAUUGGGUGUAGAUGUAGAGAGUAGGUGGGAGCUUAGGCACCAAUGGAACACCACCCUUCUACAUCUGGUUCGCUAACCGUCACCAUUAUCUGGUGACGAGACAAUGACAGGCGGGUAGUUUGACUGGGGCGGUCGCCUCCCAAAAGGUAACGGAGGCGCCUAAAGUGGCACUCAGGCUGGUUGGAAAUCAGCCGUCGAGCGCAUAGGUAUAUAGUGCGAUUGACUGCGAGACAAACAGGUCGAGCAGGGACGAAAGUCGAGCUAAGUGACCCUCUGGUGGUGCGUGGGCACGCCAGGGUUCAUCGAAUAUAAGCUACCCCGGGGAUAACAGGCUGAUCUUGCCCGAGCGCUCACAGCGACGGCAUGGUUUGGCACCUCGAUGUCGGCUCGUCUCAUCCUGGGGCUGUACACGGUCCCAAGGGUUCCGGAGUUCACGGAUUAAAGAGGCACGCGAGCUGGGUUCAGAACGGCGUGAGCCAGUUCGGUCCCUAUCCACUGCGCGCGGAGGAAAUUUGAGAGGACUCGCUCCUAGUACGAGAGGACCGGAGUGAACCGACCUCUGGUGUACCUGUUGUGCCGCCAGGCGCAUACGCAGGGUAGCCACGUCGGGUCGUGAUAAGCGCUGAAAGCAUCUAAGCGCCAAGCACACCUCAAGAUGAGAUUUCCCAUCGAAAGAGUAAGGCCCCCGGAAGACUACCGGGUUGAUAGGUCGCAGGUGUGAGCGCAGUAAUGUGUUAAGCUGAGCGAUACUAAUUGGCCGAGGGCCAA
rnacentral:rRNA from 1 species